AGUAAAGAGUACAAAAAUAGAGAUAGAAAACUUUUGAUUAUAUUAAUAACUUCGGAAUUGAAACCUAAUUAUGUCAACAUUUUUUCCUCGUAUAAUCUAUUUAGUUGUAUAUUGUGGACAUUCCGAAUGAUUUCGAUUGUCGACCGUCAAAUCACCAGAAGUUCCCAAAAACAAGUGCUUUGACGUCGCAAGGCGCAAAAAAACGCACGAACAACCUGCAAAAUAUUUCUGUAAGUAGUUAUUUAAAACUCUCAAAUAAAAUAGUUAGGUAC